GGAAGAGUGGUCGAGUGGUUUAUGGCACUGGUCUUGAAAACCAGCGAGGGUGCAAGUUCUCCGUGGGUUCAAAUCCCACCUCUUCCG
rfam:Synechococcus phage S-SM2, complete genome.